GACGAACGCUGGCGGCGUGCUUAACACAUGCAAGUCGAACGAAGUGGCGAACGGGUGAGUAACGCGUAAUCAACCUGCCCUUCAGAGGGGGACAAUAGUUGGAAACGACUGCUAAUACCGCAUAUUGACGCAGGAGUUUGCGUCUGAUUAGCUAGUUGGAGGGGUAACGGCCUACCAAGGAGAUGAUCAGUAGCCGGGCUGAGAGGAUGAACGGGCACAUUGGGACUGAGACACGGGCCAGACUCCUACGGGAGGCAGCAGGGGGGAAACUUCCGAAAAGGAGGGAAGUCUUACGGAGCAACGCCGCGUGGGUGAUGACGGCCUUCGGGUUGGAAAGCUCUGUUAAUCGGGACGCGGUACCGGAAUAGAAAGCCACGGCUAACUACGUGCCAGCCGCCGCGGUAAUUC
rnacentral:rRNA from 1 species